AAUAGAUACCCUGGUAGUCCAUGCCGUAAACGUUGGGCACUAGGUGUGGGGCUCAUUCCACGAGUUCCGUGCCGCAGCUAACGCAUUAAGUGCCCCGCCUGGGGAGUACGGCCGCAAGGCUAAAACUCAAAGGAAUUGACGGGGGCCCGCACAAGCGGCGGAGCAUGCGGAUUAAUUCGAUGCAACGCGAAGAACCUUACCAAGGCUUGACAUGUACGAGAACACGCUAGAGAUAGCGGACUCUUUGGACACUCGUACACAGGUGGUGCAUGGUUGUCGUCAGCUCGUGUCGUGAGAUGUUGGGUUAAGUCCCGCAACGAGCGCAACCCUCGUCCUAUGUUGCCAGCGGGUUAUGCCGGGGACUCAUGGGGGACUGCCGGGGUCAACUCGGAGGAAGGUGGGGAUGACGUCAAAUCAUCAUGCCCCUUAUGUCUUGGGCUUCACGCAUGCUACAAUGGCCGGUACAGAGGGCUGCGAUACCGUAAGGUGGAGCGAAUCCCAAAAAGCCGGUCUCAGUUCGGAUUGGGGU
rnacentral:rRNA from 1 species